UGGGGAAUAUUGCACAAUGGGCGCAAGCCUGAUGCAGCCAUGCCGCGUGUAUGAAGAAGGCCUUCGGGUUGUAAAGUACUUUCAGCGAGGAGGAAGGCAUUAAGGUUAAUAACCUUGGUGAUUGACGUUACUCGCAGAAGAAGCACCGGCUAACUCCGUGCCAGCAGCCGCGGUAAUACGGAGGGUGCAAGCGUUAAUAGGAAUUACUGGGCGUAAAGCGCACGCAGGCGGUCUGUCAAGUCGGAUGUGAAAUCCCCGGGCUCAACCUGGGAACUGCAUUCGAAACUGGCAGGCUAGAGUCUUGUAGAGGGGGGUAGAAUUCCAGGUGUAGCGGUGAAAUGCGUAGAGAUCUGGAGGAAUACCGGUGGCGAAGGCGGCCCCCUGGACAAAGACUGACGCUCAGGUGCGAAAGCGUGGGGAGCAAACA
rnacentral:rRNA from 1 species